CGGGGCGUGGCGCAGCUUGGUUUAGCGCGCUUGAAUGGGGUUCAAGAGGUCGGCCGUUCGAAUCGGCUCGCCCCGA
rnacentral:tRNA from 1 species